CAGGCCUAACACAUGCAAGUCGAGCGAAUGGAUUGAGAGCUUGCUCUCAAGAAGUUAGCGGCGGACGGGUGAGUAACACGUGGGUAACCUGCCCAUAAGACUGGGAUAACUCCGGGAAACCGGGGCUAAUACCGGAUAACAUUUUGAACUGCAUGGUUCGAAAUUGAAAGGCGGCUUCGGCUGUCACUUAUGGAUGGACCCGCGUCGCAUUAGCUAGUUGGUGAGGUAACGGCUCACCAUGGCAACGAUGCGUAGCCGACCUGAGAGGGUGAUCGGCCACACUGGGACUGAGACACGGCCCAGACUCCUACGGGAGGCAGCAGUAGGGCAUCUUC
rnacentral:rRNA from 1 species